GGAGAGGUGUCCGAGCGGUCUAAGGAGCACGCCUGGAAAGCGUGUAUACGGCAACCCCGUAUCGCGGGUUCGAAUCCCGCCCUCUCCGCCA
rnacentral:tRNA from 1 species